GAUGAACGCUGGCGGCGUGCCUAAUACAUGCAAGUCGAGCGAACAGAUAAGGAGCUUGCUCCUUUGACGUUAGCGGCGGACGGGUGAGUAACACGUGGAUAACCUACCUAUAAGACUGUGAUAACUUCGGGAAACCGGAGCUAAUACCGGAUAACAUAUUGAACCGCAUGGUUCGAUAGCGAAAGGCGGCUUUGCUGUCACUUAUAGAUGGAUCCGCGCCGUAUUAGCUAGUUGGUAAGGUAACGGCUUACCAAGGCAACGAUACGUAGCCGACCUGAGAGGGUGAUCGGCCACACUGGAACUGAGACACGGUCCAGACUCCCACGGGAGGCAGCAGUAGGGAAUCUUCCGCAAUGGGCGAAAGCCUGACGGAGCAACGCCGCGUGAGUGAUGAAGGUCUUCGGAUCGUAAAACUCUGUUAUCAGGGAAGAACAAAUGUGUAAGUAACUGUGCACAUCUUGACGGUACCUGAUCAGAAAGCCACGGCUAACUACGUGCCAGCCGCCGCUGUAA
rnacentral:rRNA from 1 species